rnacentral:rRNA from 1 species
AACGAACGCUGGCGGCAUGCCUAACACAUGCAAGUCGAACGAGGUCCGGAGCUUGCUCCGGGUGCCCAGUGGCGAACGGGUGAGUAACGCGUGGGAAUCUGCCCUGGAGUGGGGAACAACAGUUGGAAACGACUGCUAAUACCGCAUACGCCCUGAGGGGGAAAGGCUUCGGCCGCUCUUGGAUGAUCCCGCGUCUGAUUAGCUUGUUGGUGGGGUAACGGCCUACCAAGGCGACGAUCAGUAGCUGGUCUGAGAGGAUGAUCAGCCACACUGGGACUGAGACACGGCCCAGACUCCUACGGGAGGCAGCAGUGGGGAAUAUUGGACAAUGGGGGAAACCCUGAUCCAGCAAUGCCGCGUGAGU